UGUGUCCGUCCUUGUGUGUGUCCGUCCGUGUGUGUCCGUCCGUGUGUCUGUGUGUGUCCGUCCUUGUGUGUGUCCGUCCGUGUGUGUCCGUGUGUGUGUGUGGCAGGGUUCACCUACACAGCUGCUACUCAUCAUCAAUCUCCACCAGUAUAUGACCGCAGCUCAUCCCUCCUGUCGUCACCAGAUCGCUCCAUCUACCAAUACUUUCAGCGAUGCCUUUGACUCCACCCAAUUCUUCAGAUGGAAAUGUGUUGCUGUGACUGUAGUUAUUGCAGGCGAUCCAUGCAUUGUGCAGCUGCCUAUAAUUGAUGCUGUCUGAGGAAAGAAGGACCGUCCUCUCCCACAGCUUGUAAUCCCUCCUGUCCGAGGAGGUCGUGGCCAUGUCGGGAGGCAUUCCAGACAUAGCCUCCAUUUCUCUCCCAUUAAACCGAUCACUGUGAGCUCUCUCCGCCCGGCUGGGCCGCGGUGCCGCUGCAGCAGGGUCCCCCUCUGCUGUGACGGAUUACAGCGUUGUUGAACAUAAACCCACCUACAUCGGCUUACACAGCUUUUUAUUUACAUUCAUCUACAGUAUCAUUAGCAUGAAUUAGAGAGCCAAAUCCAAAUGUCUGCACCUCGGUCACCCACCAAACGCUGAUCACAGAGCCCGACAAACGCUAGUGGUGUUCGACGAACAGCCUCCAACAUACAGUAACAGUGUGAGCUGUGGAAUUUCUACCACGUUAAUAGAA